rnacentral:rRNA from 1 species
GAUGAACGCUAGCGGCAGGCUUAAUACAUGCAAGUCGAGGGGCAGCGCAGUGUAGCAAUACAUGGGCGGCGACCGGCAAACGGGUGCGGAACACGUACAGAACCUUCCUUCGAGCGGGGGAUAGCCCAGAGAAAUUUGGAUUAAUACCCCAUAGUAUAGCGGAGUGGCAUCACUUUGUUAUUAAAGAUUUAUCACUUGAAGAUGGCUGUGCGUCGGAUUAGGUAGUUGGCGGGGUAACGGCCCACCAAGCCUGCGACCAGUAACUGGUGUGAGAGCACGACCAGUCACACGGGCACUGAGACACGGGCCCGACUCCUACGGGCGGCAGCAGUAAGGAAUAUUGGUCAAUGGACGCAAGUCUGAACCAGCCAUGCCGCGUGAAGGAUGAAGGUCCUCUGGAUUGUAAACUUCUUUUAUCUGGGGCGAAAAAAGGCUUUUCUAAGUCGUCUGACGGUACCUUAUGAAUAAGCACCGGCUAACUCCGUGCCAGCAGCCGCCGUAAUAC